rnacentral:rRNA from 1 species
UCCUACGGGAGGCAGCAGUGGGGAAUCUUGGACAAUGGGCGCAAGCCUGAUCCAGCCAUGCCGCGUGAGUGAAGAAGGUCUUCGGAUUGUAAAGCUCUUUUGCCAGGGACGAUAAUGACGGUACCUGGAGAAUAAGCCCCGGCAAACUUCGUGCCAGCAGCCGCGGUAAU